AUUACCUGGGGAUCUGGUUAAAAUUCAGACUCUGAUUCAUAGGUAUGGCAUGGAAGUCUGAGAUUCUGCAUUUCUACCAAGCUCCCAAGUAAUGCCAA
rnacentral:pre_miRNA from 1 species